UUUACUGAUCUACAUCUACCAAAUUAAUUGUCUUUGCAAUUCUUCUUCUUCCUUUGUUUCUCUCGAAACAAAAUGGUGAUGGUCAUGGUGGAUUGGAUUUACAAGUGAUUUUCCUUGGUCUUUUGUUGAUAGAGGUCUCAGUUGUUCCCUGAAAAUGACCAGGUAUUUUCUUUCAUUUGAGUUCUCUCUAAAGAUUUCCAAAAUGUCAUGCUUUCAUUGAUAGGUCUCUAACUUCUGAAUUGAAGUUUGGCUUCAAUGUAGUUGAGUAGUCUGCUGCUGUUUGGGCCAUGAGAAUUCAGUACAUAUGAUAAUCUAUUAUUCGAUUAGUUAUUGAUAUAAAACCCAUUGGUUCAUAAAACAUGAAAAAACUGAAUAACAUUUUUUGUUAAACUUCCUAUAUAUGUUACUUCUUUAACACUUAUAGCAUGCAAUGAGUUUAUUUUCCAAUUUGUAUGUUCAGCUUAGCCAAGUUGAGAUUGUAGCAAAUAACAUUGUUUAGUUGUCACUGUCUUUCGUCAAUGACUUUCUUGCCUCAAAUACUGUCUUCCGCAGUGUUUCACAUUACUGAUCCAAGGUUAGCACGAGGGAUCCUAGGUAUGCCCCUUUUAUUGUAUCAGCUGAAAUUAAAGUGGCAUUCAUAGAGAAAAGUAACAAGGAACUUGCUUUUAUCACUUUGAUACAAAAUGACAUUCCAUUUUGCAUUCUAGAGUGUAUGUUGAGAGUGUUGUGGAUUUGCAAAAAGAAAAUUUCAAAGUUAUUUAUAAACCGGUUUCUUUUUGGUAUUGCAUUCUUUCUUAUUUUUUACUCAUUGUUAUAUAGUUUGCAUAAAAGUGUGGUGGGUUCUCAAAAUUGUUUUCUCUAAACUGGUAAUUUUUUUUGUCUUAUUUUUCUUAGACUGGUAUUCUCUACAUUUAGAUUGUUAGAUUGUAUCGUUUUUUAGUUUUCACUUUUGAAAGGUCUCUUGCAUAUACCUUAACAGUAUUGCAUAUGAAGUAUGGUGUGUGACCUCUUGAUGCCUUCUGUGUUUUGACAUGUAGAUGAGAAGGUUUUAGAUUGUUCCAAAUUGGUCAGCAUAAUGUUAAUAACCUUAUGCUAUGAUUGAAUGUGAUGUACAGGAAACAAAGAGGAAGAAGCAGCCAAUGUGGAUGAUCUUUUUCUUGAAGGGACUUGCAGCAACCAAUUCAGAGAAAGAGGAUUUGGAAGUGUUUAUAGGGGAUCAGUUUUGGGAUGAAAAACAAGUAGUUAUCAGUACUUUUAGUUUCUUUUUUCCAUGCCAAUAUGAAAUUUGUUGGUUACUGAGUUAAUUUUAACACUAUAUUUGACAUAAUGAAUAUACAGGACCUUAUGAUAAGGAAGAGCUUGCAGCAACAUCGUAUCAUUUUGCUACUGGAAAGAUCAGCUUUUAUUACCAGAAUGAAUUUGAUCUAAUGAAUGCUGUAACAAAAGAAGAAUACGUAGCCUCCCUAUAAAGGUAUUUAUUUUCAUCUGUAAUUGAUGAGCAUUGAUUUCGCUCUUUGCAACAGUUUUCAUUUCAAGCAAGGGGCAAUGUUUCUUUUACUGCGAAAUAGUCAUUUAUUACAUUUGAAGCUUGGGAAGAAAAGAGGAACGAACCGCAGCAACGCGCGGGCAAUUUUCUUAGUUAAAACAAAGCAUAAGGAACACUAACUACAGUAAUCAGGCUUAGAGCACUUGACAGUGUACAAUCCAACACUCCAGACCUGCUCCCCAUGCUAUGUUUAAACUUGAUCAUUAAUUUGAGAUUAUCACUCGCUCACACUCCCCCUCUCUCCAUUUCUGUUGUAGAUAUGUAGUGAAGAUCAGUAAUAUUUCAGACAUGAAUAUGAACAAUGGAUGAAUCAAAAGCAACGGUUAAACACAUAGUUAGCGUUGGUGACUUUUGAUAACUAAAAUUUGGAUUGUUCGACCAAGUAAGAAAAAUUCAAUAAUGAAAUUGCAAGACAAUAUUCACAAUCCUAAUCUUAUGAGGUAAGGUGUGAGAUACUGAACCUAUUAGGAACAAGAGAAUAUUACACAGUAUUCUCUCCUUGUCUUAUGAGGUAGACAAUCCUAACCUCAUGAGGUAAGACUCACGCCAACACUGUUUAAGGGUAGCAGAGGCUUUCCUUUUCUUCAUCUCAGUAUUUUCUAUUUCUCUUCUAUUAGUUUCAAUUUUGAGUUCAGUUUCGUUCCCGUCAAAUUUCAACCACUACAUCAAUGGCCGACCCGACCCAACUCGAAUCAACUCGAAAGCUCCGAAACAUCUGCAUCUUGGCCCACGUUGACCACGGCAAGACCACCCUCUGCGACACCUAAUCUCAGUCUCCGACGGCGGCAUCAUCCACCCCAAGCUGGCCGGCCACCUCCACUACAUGGACUCCCUCGUCGAGGAGCAGCGCCGCGCCAUCACCAUGAAAAGCUCCUCCAUCGCUCUCCAUCAUCACUGCCACUCCAUCACCAUCAUCGACUCCCCGGGCCAUAUUGACUUCUGCAGCGAAGUCUCCACUACUGCCAGGCUCAGUGAUGGUGCGUUGAUCCUAGUCGACGUCGUCGAGGGCGUACACAUCCAAAUGCAUGCCGUCUUGCACCAGGCCUGGAUCGAGAAGCUCACGCCGUGUUUGGUGAUCAACAAGAUCGAUAGGUUGAUCUCCGAGCUCGCGAUGAGCCAUAGCGAGCCGUUUGUUAGGUUGUUGAGGAUUGUUUCUGAGGUUAAUAACAUUGUUAGUUGUUUUAAUUCUGUGAAAUACUUGAAUGAUGUCGAUGGCAUUGUUUCAGGUGUUAGUGUCACAUUCCGACUCUUAAAUUUUUACCUUAUUUACUAGUUUGGUAUUAAGAAGAGUUUUACUGUCAUCGUCAAUGAGUUUAUAGUUUAAAGGGUCCCUAAAGAUGUUUUGGGGGACGAUUAUUUCAGAGGAAUUUUUCGUAAGAGAAAAUUGUGACGACGGUUAAAAUGAUAAAUUUUAGCUAGUAAAAAGUAAUUUUUAUUAGGGUAUUAUUUUGUGGUGUUAUUUUUGGAGUUGGAUUGGUAUUAGUUGGAUUAGGGGACCGGUUGGGAGGCCCAUUUCCUUCCUUCUCUUUUUCUUCUCUCUCAAUUUCCCUGACUCUCUCUCCCUGCCGGAUCUUUAGCACGACCGUCUGCCACCGUCCGGCCACCGCAGACCGCCGCUCAGAUCCCUUUCGGUCCGCUGUCUUCUCCUCUCCAUUUCUGGGUAGGUGACCGAACCCCUACCACCGUCGUGUGGAGGAAAUCGCCUUUGGAAGUCCGGCUGCCCUCUCGCCGGAGCUCCUUCUUUCGGCCGCCACAGCCAACUAUCAUUGGCUCAUCUUGUAGCUCUCAGCUAGGGUAGUAAUCCCUCAAAAGGAGUCGGCUCGAUUCGUGCUUGGUAAGGAGAAAUGUUUAAUUGAAAUUCUUGGGCUCCAUGUUAUGUUUUGGUUCGAUUACCCUAUCUAGGCUUGGAAUUGGUGUUUGUGCUAGUUAGGAAAAUUGUAGAGUGGGUUGAGAGAAAGAUGCUGUCAAAUUUUGGUAGGCAUUAGAGGUUGUCGAAGUCAGUCUCCGGCCGCCGCUGUUAGGGGGAUUUUAAUGGUUUUAAAUGUGUUAUAUUAAGGGGAGUUUAAUGAUGUGAAUCUUUGAAUUUUUUAAAGAGUUUUGGAUAGGUUUGAGAUUUUUCAAAAUUUAGUAUUUUGGCGGUUAAUUAGGGUAGAAUCCGGCUGUUGGAUUAAAGUUGUUUAAUCUGUGGAAAGUUGUAAUAAAGCUGCCGAUUAUGGUGUUGAAGUUUGGAUCGUAUCGUUUUAGGAAUGUCGAAGGUAGGCAAUGAUCAACGUGGUUACGGCUCACAUUUAAUUUUGCCUAUUUUGUAUAAAUAUUGGAUUUUUGGUUGAGAAUUUAAUUAUAUAUUUGGAACAGAACGUGAGGAGGCUCGAGCAGAAGAGGCCUCGGAUUGACAUCAGGCUUACGCCUAAUUUGUGAGUGGACUUUUAUUUUAAAUAAUAUGCAUCCAAAUGGUUUAUUGAUGAAUAAUUUCUUUUGUUGGAGAAUAACCGAAAUUGAGAAUUACGGGGAAUAUAUAUAUAUAUUCAUACAUGGAUUAUUAUGAGGAUAGUAUGUAUAUAAAUAAAUGCUAGCUAGCCAUAUGUGUUUUUCCACCAUAAUGAGAUAAAAUUCCAUUAUGGUGUGACGUGAGCGUUAGACACAAUCGUCGUAGCCCCUAUAUAAAUAUAAGAAUUUAUAUAGGGAAUAUGCUCGUAUAUACACUCGUGUUUUUCUGCCAUAAUGAGGUAAAAUUUCAUUAUGAUGUGAUGAGAGCGUUAGACACAAACGUCGUAGCCUUGUAUGAAUUUAUAUUUUUCUUAUUUCUUCAUAGAAAUCGUACAAGGAAUACGACGAGUGUAAAUACAUACAUACAUAUAUUAUUUUAGCAUGAGAGGCUCUAUUUUAUAAAGUUUUGGAGACUAGCUCGUGUAUUUGCUAGUUUAUGAGUUGAGAGCUUUUGAGCUUAUUGUAUUCAAUUUAAUUCUUCUAAAGGAGUUAAAUUAGGAAAACAUAAAUAUUUUUUAUUUAUUUAUUUCUGUCUACUCACUCUAACGUUUGCGAAUGUUUUCCCUGGGCCUUUCAUUUUAAAAAUGCCCAGUCUGCAGAGUUCGGGUUGGUACUAGUAAGAGGCGAGGCCUAGUGACCCACAUCUCUACCACUUUUCACCAGUAGGUUACCUGCUUAACCUACCAGUGUAUUUUCUUGCUUCUGCUAGUGUUAGUAGCUCAGAUUACCCUUGAGGAUAAUGUGUGAUAGUUCGGUUGUGUGCUAAGUCUUUGAUUAUAUUUUGGAAUAUUCUGAGGAUGACGUAUGUUAUAUUAGAUGGAUAUUUACUUGAUGGAUUGGAAGAUGUUGUAUUUAUUACUUUGGAGUGGUUGUGUUUGUGAGGAGCGGGUGGCUCCAAGAGUUAAGGUUGGAUGUGUCGAUAUAUGAGUGUUAUUUGAAUUUUUUUUCAGGUUAGGGUUGUUCAUUUGUAAGGGAGGUUAUGCUGAAUUUUUCGGUAAAUUUCCUUUAGAGGUGGACCCCGCAGGAUUUACUUCAGGUUUUAGGAUGAAAUUCGGGGUGGGUCCUGACAGUUAGAAUGGACUUAGCAUUAUAAGUCCUAAGGCAUGACAACCUCUAUAGAAUAACAGAAUGAACAUUGUGAAUUAAUUGCAUUAUCAUAUAUACUAUGUUUAUCUAAAUGAAAUGGUUAGAUAAACAAUGAAAUACAUUUGAAUUAUCUUGUAUAACAAGAUAAUAGAGAUAGGCUAAUAUUGUGGUAUUUGUGUGGAACUCAAACUCUUUGAUGGUUAAGAGUUUGAGCUAUCCAAAAUACAAUAUAAAAGGAGGUCCCUGUGCACACAAAUAUACGCCAAAUAUCUUAGCACCUUCUUCCCCCCAAUCUAAUCCAAUGCUCAGGCCCAGGAUUGGAUUGAAACCGUGCUAAAACUCCGACUGCAUAAGCCAAGUCAGGCCUUGUGCAUGUCUGUGCAUACAUUAAACUCCCAAUUAGUUGUGCAUAAGGCUUACCCUCCAUGUUCUGCUUUUCUAAAUCAGUCUUAGGACACUGAUCCUUGUUUAGCUUAUCACCUUUUGUCAUUGGAACAUCAUUAGCUGAACAAGUCUCCAUAUCAAAUCUUUUCAAAACCUUCCUGACAUAUCCCUCCUGUGACAAUCCCAAAACUCUGCUGGCUCUAUUUCUCUUAAUCUCAAUACCAAGCACAUACCUAGCUUCACCUAAAGGGGAGGACAAUAUAAUGGUAGACACACUGAGAAGGGACAACACAAGGGUCUAUUUGCACUGUUUUUGCAAGAAAAUAGGAGCUAGGUUCAGUACACUGCACCAGGUACUCCUGAACAGAAUGGGGUAGCUGAGAGGAGAAACAGGACUUUUCUUAACAUGGUGAGGUGCAUGAUGUGCACUUCAGGGCUUCCCAAAUUUUUGUGGGGGGAAGCAUUGAAAACUGCCAAUUACAUCACUAAUAGAACCCCAACCAAGGCAGUGACAAAGACACCAUUUGAAUUGUGGAAGGGUAGAAAGCCUAGUGUGAUGCAUGCACAUGUGUGGGGGUGUAAGGCAGAAGCCAGAGCCUACAAUCCUAAAGAGUCCAAAUUGGAUUCGAAAACCAUUUCAGCUUUUUUUCAUUGGUUACCCUGAGAAUUCUAGAGGUUUUAAAUUCUAUUGCCCUUCCCAUACCAGUAGAACAAUUGAAACCAAUAAAGCAGUGUUUUUGAAUGAGAUGGCUUUUACUGACAAGUUUGAUGAUUUUGUGCUUGAAGAAUUGGUUGAGAAUGAUAUGUGUGAUGUUCACAUGUCUACUGUGUUCGAGCCUAUUGUAACCAUUCAUAUACCUUCAACUGAGAAUUAUGCAGAUGCCAUAGUGCCAAACCAAAAUGAAUUUUCAGUUAUGCAAAAUUCAGUAGCUCAAGAAAUGCCUAAUUGAGUAGUAGAAAAUACAACUGAGAAUGUUGUUGCACCACCACAGCCUGUUUUGAGAAGAUCUCAGAGAGAGAGAAAGUCAGCCUUAGCCAAUCUAGCUAUAGACUACCAGAUUUAUUUGCAGGAAAUAGAGUUUGAUGUUGGUGAGUUGGAUGAUCCCACUACUUUUAAAGAAGCUAUUGAAAGCUCGAAUUCUCAAAAAUGGGAGGAAGCAAUGGUAUCUGAAUUAAAAUCCAUGGAAGCCAAUGAUGUUUGGAAACUAGUUCAGUUGCCUCAGAAUGUAAAAGCCAUAGGAUGUAAGUGGGUGUAUAAGACCAAAACCAAUGCAGAUGGAAGUAUAGAAAGAUUUAAAGCUAGGUUGGUAGCUAAGGGGUUUACACAGCAAGAAAGGAUAGAUUAUAAUGAGACUUAUUCUCAUGUUUCUACAAAAGAUGCUUUCAUAUUGAUUAUGGCUUUAGUAGCUCACUUUAAUUAAUAUGGAAUUGCACCAGAUGGAUGUUAGAACAACUUUUUUGAAUGGUGAGCUACUGGAGGAGAUUUUCAUGAAGCAACCUGAAGGGUUUAUGGAACCUGGAACUAAGAAGUUAGUGUGUAAGUUGAAUAGAUCGAUUUAUGGUCUGAAGCAGACAUCUAGGCAAUGGUAUUUAAAAUUUGAUGCAGUGGUUCGAAGUUUUGGCUUUAAGGAAAAUCAAGUAGAUGAGUGUGUGUACAUGAAGACUGAGGGAAAAGAUUUUAUUUUUCUCAUUUUUUAUGUUGAUGAUAUUCUACUUGCUACUACCAGCUUGACGUUACUGAAAAAUACUAAAGGUUUCUUGUUGAAGAAUUUUGACAUGCAUGAAAGAUUUAGGUGAAGCUAGGUAUGUGCUUGGUAUUGAGAUUAAGAGAAAUAGAGCCAACAGAGUUUUGGCAUUGUCACAGGAGGGAUAUGUCAGGAAGAUUCUGAAAAGAUUUGAUAUGGAGACUUGUUCAGCUAAUGAUGUUCCAAUGACAAAAGGUGAUAAGCUAAACAAGGAUCAGUGUCCCAAGACUGAUUUAGAAAAGAAGAACAUGGAGGGUAAGCCUUAUGCACAGCUGAUUGGGAGUUUAAUGUAUGCACAGACAUGCACAAGGCCUGACUUGGCUUAUGCAGUCGGAGUUUUAGCACGAUUUCAAUCCAAUCCUAGGCCUGAGCAUUGGAUUGGGGGGAAGAAGGUGCUAAGAUAUUUGCAGAAGACUAAGGCACAUAUGUUAGUCUACAGACAAGUGAAAAACUUAGAAAUUACUGCAUAUUGUGACUCAUAUUUUACAUCCAAGUUUCCAUCAUCCAAUAAGUCCACCACUGGCUAUGUUUUUAUUUUAGCAGGAGGAGCAGUAGCUUGGAGAAGUGUAAAACAAGAAUUGAUUUCCACUUCUACUAUGCAGGUUGAAUUCAUCGCAAUUUAUGAUUCGGUGUGUGAAGGUGUUUGGCUGAAAAAUUUCCUGAUUCAGACAAGACUUGUUGAUAGCAUUUUGUCUAGGCCAAUGAAAUAUUUAAGUGAUAAUUCUGCUGCUGUGUACUUCACUAAAAAUAAUAAGAGGUCCAAUAAUUCUAAGCAUUUGGGACUUAAGCAUUACAGUGUGAGGGAAAAGGUGAAACAUGGUGAGAUUGAAGUUUUGCAAAUUGACACUUUAUCUCAACUUGCAGACCCUUUUACCAAAGCCUUGACAGCAGUGAGUUUUGAAGAACAUGCAAGGAGCAUUGGUAUUUUACCUGAUUUAGAUGCUUGAGGAAGUUAGAGAACAAUGGGAGCAUGUUUUGUUUAUUUUAUAAUUUGUUCUUCAAUAAAUUUGUGGAAAAAAUGUGUACUUGUUUCUCAUAUUGAAAGUUUGGCAUUUUGCCACUUUCAUUGGAUUGCAAUAAAAUUUCAGUUCAAACUAUAUGAUUGCAAUGAUAUUUAUUUGAUUUCUGAAAUUCAUAAUGUGAAUACAACGACCUGUUUUGCUUGGAUAUUUUAAAGCAACUUUGCAUAUAUGUGAAAUGUAUAUAUGCUGCAUCAUUCUACAGGUUAAAGGAACACAUGAAUAUUUCUUUUGAAAUUUUGUGUUGAGGUUCUUGCAUACUGAACCAAGGAUUGGACUGCUUUGCUUAAGUGUUUGAUUAUUUCCAUUUUCAUAAGGAAACACUUUUGCAAUUCUAUUAUCUCUGAUUAGUCAUGUGUUAUAUUUAGAGUUGUGUUGGUGAUUUUCAAGUUGAUGUGUUUAG
rnacentral:lncRNA from 1 species